rnacentral:rRNA from 1 species
UUAAGCGACUAAGCGUACACGGUGGAUGCCCUGGCAGUCAGAGGCGAUGAAGGACGUGCUAAUCUGCGAAAAGCGCCGGCGAGGUGAUAUGAACCUUUGACCCGGCGAUGUCCGAAUGGGGAAACCCAGUGUGAUUCGUCACACUAUCGUUAACUGAAUACAUAGGUUAACGAGGCGAACCGGGGGAACUGAAACAUCUAAGUACCCCGAGGAAAAGAAAUCAACCGAGAUUCCCCCAGUAGCGGCGAGCGAACGGGGAGCAGCCCAGAGUCUGAAUCAGCUUGUGUGUUAGUGGAAGCGUCUGGAAAGUCGCACGGUACAGGGUGACAGUCCCGUACACGAAAGCACACAGGUUGUGAACUCGAAGAGUAGGGCGGGACACGUGGUAUCCUGUCUGAAUAUGGGGGGACCAUCCUCCAAGGCUAAAUACUCCUGACUGACCGAUAGUGAACCAGUACCGUGAGGGAAAGGCGAAAAGAACCCCGGCGAGGGGAGUGAAAUAGAACCUGAAACCGUGUACGUACAAGCAGUGGGAGCACCUUCGUGGUGUGACUGCGUACCUUUUGUAUAAUGGGUCAGCGACUUAUAUUCUGUAGCAAGGUUAACCGUAUAGGGGAGCCGAAGGGAAACCGAGUCUUAACUGGGCGUUAAGUUGCAGGGUAUAGACCCGAAACCCGGUGAUCUAGCCAUGGGCAGGUUGAAGGUUGGGUAACACUAACUGGAGGACCGAACCGACUAAUGUUGAAAAAUUAGCGGAUGACUUGUGGCUGGGGGUGAAAGGCCAAUCAAACCGGGAGAUAGCUGGUUCUCCCCGAAAGCUAUUUAGGUAGCGCCUCGUGAACUCAUCUUCGGGGGUAGAGCACUGUUUCGGCUAGGGGGCCAUCCCGGCUUACCAACCCGAUGCAAACUACGAAUACCGAAGAAUGUUAUCACGGGAGACACACGGCGGGUGCUAACGUCCGUCGUGAAGAGGGAAACAACCCAGACCGCCAGCUAAGGUCCCAAAGUCAUGGUUAAGUGGGAAACGAUGUGGGAAGGCACAGACAGCCAGGAUGUUGGCUUAGAAGCAGCCAUCAUUUAAAGAAAGCGUAAUAGCUCACUGGUCGAGUCGGCCUGCGCGGAAGAUGUAACGGGGCUAAACCAUGCACCGAAGCUGCGGCAGCGACACUAUGUGUUGUUGGGUAGGGGAGCGUUCUGUAAGCCGUUGAAGGUGUGCUGUGAGGCAUGCUGGAGGUAUCAGAAGUGCGAAUGCUGACAUAAGUAACGAUAAAGCGGGUGAAAAGCCCGCUCGCCGGAAGACCAAGGGUUCCUGUCCAACGUUAAUCGGGGCAGGGUGAGUCGACCCCUAAGGCGAGGCCGAAAGGCGUAGUCGAUGGGAAACAGGUUAAUAUUCCUGUACUUGGUGUUACUGCGAAGGGGGGACGGAGAAGGCUAUGUUAGCCGGGCGACGGUUGUCCCGGUUUAAGCAUGUAGGCGGAGGUUCCAGGUAAAUCCGGUACCUUAUUAACGCUGAGGUGUGAUGACGAGGCACUACGGUGCUGAAGUAACAAAUGCCCUGCUUCCAGGAAAAGCCUCUAAGCAUCAGGUAACAUCAAAUCGUACCCCAAACCGACACAGGUGGUCAGGUAGAGAAUACCAAGGCGCUUGAGAGAACUCGGGUGAAGGAACUAGGCAAAAUGGUGCCGUAACUUCGGGAGAAGGCACGCUGAUAUGUAGGUGAAGCCCCUGCGGGUGGAGCUGAAAUCAGUCGAAGAUACCAGCUGGCUGCAACUGUUUAUUAAAAACACAGCACUGUGCAAACACGAAAGUGGACGUAUACGGUGUGACGCCUGCCCGGUGCCGGAAGGUUAAUUGAUGGGGUUAGCGGCAACGCGAAGCUCUUGAUCGAAGCCCCGGUAAACGGCGGCCGUAACUAUAACGGUCCUAAGGUAGCGAAAUUCCUUGUCGGGUAAGUUCCGACCUGCACGAAUGGCGUAAUGAUGGCCAGGCUGUCUCCACCCGAGACUCAGUGAAAUUGAACUCGCUGUGAAGAUGCAGUGUACCCGCGGCAAGACGGAAAGACCCCGUGAACCUUUACUAUAGCUUGACACUGAACACUGGUCCUUGAUGUGUAGGAUAGGUGGGAGGCUUUGAAGUGUGGACGCCAGUCUGCAUGGAGCCGUCCUUGAAAUACCACCCUUUAAUGGCUGGUGUUCUAACGUAGACCCGUGAUCCGGGUUGCGGACAGUGUCUGGUGGGUAGUUUGACUGGGGCGGUCUCCUCCCAAAGAGUAACGGAGGAGCACGAAGGUUAGCUAAUCCUGGUCGGACAUCAGGAGGUUAGUGCAAUGGCAUAAGCUAGCUUGACUGCGAGAGUGACGGCUCGAGCAGGUGCGAAAGCAGGUCAUAGUGAUCCGGUGGUUCUGAAUGGAAGGGCCAUCGCUCAACGGAUAAAAGGUACUCCGGGGAUAACAGGCUGAUACCGCCCAAGAGUUCAUAUCGACGGCGGUGUUUGGCACCUCGAUGUCGGCUCAUCACAUCCUGGGGCUGAAGUAGGUCCCAAGGGUAUGGCUGUUCGCCAUUUAAAGUGGUACGCGAGCUGGGUUUAGAACGUCGUGAGACAGUUCGGUCCCUAUCUGCCGUGGGCGCUGGAGAAUUGAGGGGGGCUGCUCCUAGUACGAGAGGACCGGAGUGGACGCAUCACUGGUGUUCGGGUUGUCAUGCCAAUGGCACUGCCCGGUAGCUAAAUGCGGAAAAGAUAAGUGCUGAAAGCAUCUAAGCACGAAACUUGCCCCGAGAUGAGUUCUCCCUGAGACUUUAAGUCUCCUGAAGGAACGUUGAAGACGACGACGUUGAUAGGUCGGGUGUGUAAGCGCAGCGAUGCGUUGAGCUAACCGAUACUAAUGAACCGUGAGGCUUAACCUU